rnacentral:rRNA from 1 species
UCUGAAUCUGCGAACGGCUCCGCAAACCAGUUGUAAACUAUAGCAAGCAGGCUCGGGGUCGGCCUUCACGGGCUGGCCUCGGGCGAUAAGGAUAACCCUGGUAAUUCUGAGGCUAAUACAUGAACGUAGAACCCGGUUGACUAGGCCUCACGGCUAGGGAUGCUGGGGGAUGUGCGAUUGCAGGCUUGGGUAACUCCGGGAAAGGGCGCACGUCCAGACCGCGCUAUAAAGGAUGGGCUUCUCACGAGGCCUGCCCCAGCGGCUCUUGCUGUGUGCUUCUGACCUAUCAACUAGACGGCAGCGUAAGGGACAUGCUAUGGU